UUGGUAGCACAGUGGUUAGUGCAGUCUGCCGGAAACAGAAAGACACGGGUUCAAUUCCCGUCCGA
rfam:Nippostrongylus brasiliensis genome assembly, scaffold: NBR_contig0003445